ACGCUCGACACCUACGUGAGGCAGCAGUGGGGAAUAUUGCACAAUGGGGGAAACCCUGAUGCAGCGACGCCGCGUGAAGGAAGAAGUAUCUCGGUAUGUAAACUUCUAUCAGCAGGGAAGAAAGUGACGGUACCUGACUAAGAAGCCCCGGCUAACUACGUGCCAGNCGCGAGUAUCNGCGGCGUGNGAGAG
rnacentral:rRNA from 1 species